ACAUUUAGUGCUUGCACCGAAUGGACGUCGACCGGCGCACGGGUGAGUAACGCGUAUCCAACCUACCCAUUACUGUGGGAUAACCUGCCGAAAGGCAGACUAAUACCGCAUAGUCUUCGAUGACGGCAUCAKAUUUGAAGUAAAGAUUUAUCGGUAAUGGACGGGGAUGCGUCUGAUUAGCUUGYUGGCGGGGUAACGGCCCACCAAGGCAACGAUCAGUAAGGGUUCUGAGAGGAAGGUCCCCCACAUUGGAACUGAGACACGGUCCAAACUCCUACGGGAGGCAGCAGUGAGGAAUAUUGGUCAAUGGGCGCGAGCCUGAACCAGCCAAGUAGCGUGCAGGAUGACGGCCCUAUGGGUUGUAAACUGCUUUUGUAUGGGGAUAAAGUCAAUCACGUGUGAUUGUUUGCAGGUACCAUACGAAUAAGGACCGGCUAAUUCCGUGC
rnacentral:rRNA from 1 species